rnacentral:rRNA from 1 species
AAAGGCGAAAAGAACCCCGGGAGGGGAGUGAAAAAGAACCUGAAACCGUGUACGUACAAGCAGUGGGAGCCCCACCACCAAAGCAUUCUCUGGUGUUGAAGGCCCUGCAAAGCAGCAUCGCGGUGGCGGAGCGUCGUUUGCGACGCCCAACACACAAAACAAGCGGUGAAUGCUUUGUGGUGGGGUGACUGCGUACCUUUUGUAUAAUGGGUCAGCGACUUAUAUUCUGUAGCAAGGUUAACCGAAUAGGGGAGCCGGAGGGAAACCGAGUCUUAAUUGGGCGUUAAGUUGCAGGGUA